rnacentral:rRNA from 1 species
UACGUAGGGGGCAAGCGUUGUCCGGAUUUACUGGGCGUAAAGAGCGCGUAGGCGGACGUUUAAGUGUGGCCUGAAAGCCCCCGGCUCAACCGGGGAUCCGGGUUGCAAACUGGACGUCUUGAGGGGGAUAGGGGAAGGUGGAAUUCCUGGUGUAGCGGUGAAAUGCGUAGAGAUCAGGAGGAACACCCGUGGCGAAGGCGGCCUUCUGGACCGGUACUGACGCUGAUGCGCGAAAGCGUGGGGGGCAAACGGG